AUUUCAUGUACUUUACAACAACACCCGUAUAUCCUAUUCUUGUUUUUGUCAUCACUCACAGUCUCACAUUAUAAAUACCUAGGUUUCCCCAUUUUGCACAGAUUUCAUAGAAAGGGCAAGAAUUUGUUAUUCCUUCACUUUGUUUUGCAGGUUCCUUACUGGGUUAUUUUGGGUCAACAUCUAAUUCAUCUAAACUUUCAAUGGAGGCACACAACGCAGCAAUGAUGACUGGCUCGAAAAAUGUUAUCUUUCUGUCGAGCAUUCUGGGCCAGGAUGGGCCAUAUCCAAACCACAAGUGCGAUUGGAAAUGUCAAAAUGAGCAUGUUUGUGGGAAUAUGUACAGAUGCAAGCUGACUGGGCUGACCCAUAUCUGUGACAAAAACUGUGAUCAGCGAAUUCUCUAUGGAAAUCACGACUCACUGUGCAGAGUCAGUGGGCAGGUCUUCCCACUUUCACCUAUUGAGCAACAAGCUGCAAGAGGUGUUCGUAGGAAGCUUGAAGCUGAAGCUUGCCCUUCCGAAACUUGUUCUUUCAAGCGUCGUCGAGAUGGAAACUUACAUCCGUCCCCAUUUGAGAGAUCUUUCUCCGCUGUCAGCCCUAUCUGCAGUCAAGUUGGAGAUGGCAUGGAGUUGAACUAGAUAACUCAAUAAGCACUACAAGCCUUUUUCUUUCUAACUUUUUUCUAUUGCAUUUAACUUUUUCAUUUUGGUGAACUAUGUGAGAAUCUUAAGUGCGGAACCUAGUGCGCCCCUUAUGUGUGGCAGAAGACUUAUAUUUCUUAAUUUAGGGGUUAUGUAGAAUAAUUUGAGACUUUAAUCUACUUUAAUGUUCUUAUAUUGACAUCUUUCAUGUUUGCUCUAAUUUUUGUUAGUGAUAGUAUUUGUUGGAAAUCUAUUGAUCUUGUAUACUUGCAGCUUUUAAGAUAAUCAUUCCAGACCUUACCUGUCUUCUCUACUUGGUUGAGGGUGGUAUGCCUCAGAUAACCUUAUUUUUGUAAUGAUGCUAUUUCUCUAGGUGCAGCUUAUAUGAUUUUUUUCUUUUGUAACUGGACUGAGUAUCUUCUAUCUCUUUAUCCCCCUUCUUCACCUUAUUCCUUAAAAAUUAAGAAAAAUGAGAAGAGUACAACAACCCUUUGAUACUUCACACUCCAAUAACGACUAAUUGUUUCUGUUUUGACAUGUAUGCCGUUCUUAGUGAUAUUUGCAGGUUUACAAACUCGUCAGGGAAUUCCUAUUUUGCUUAUUGCUGAUUGAUUUCUUCAUGUGUAGUUUCAGCUCAAUGAUAUCACUAAUACGUUUUCUCCUUCCCCUUUCAGGAAUGCUUGGAUAUGGUUAUUUGUGGUUAUGGAGGUGGCCUAAUCAACACCAAUUAGCUGGAUUAAUCUAUGAAUGACCCCUGCUUCCAAAAUUGAAUCCACCAGCUGAAUCUUGUCUAUGUGUCAUGCAUUCUGGAGUUGUUUAGAUUGAGUUGUCUUUACUACUACUACAGUACUUCUACUGCUAUCCUCAAAAUAAGGAGACCACAUGAAUAGUAGGUUGUAAGCUCUAAACAGUAAACGGGUCUGCCAUAACACACUUCAACGGGGCUAAUUCUGAUGUUGAUGCCAUUAUGGAAUGUGAUUGUUUUAUCACUAUCAAUCCUUGAAACACGCUUUGGAGCUUCAGUGACUUUUGGGCUCAGCAUUUUAUCCUAUUCAUGCAUAGUGAUGCAUAUGUGGAUUUUACAAAUUUGAGCAUAGCGACAAACUUGAUGUCUUCAAUGUUUGUCAGUUGCUUCCGUACUAUGAUCUAUCCAUGGUUUAAAUUUGGAAUAGCAUUGCAUAGGAAGGUUUGUGAUAUUAUCAGUACUUGAGUAUAGAAUGCUCCAGCAACAAAACAGGCAGCUCUGAAACACGAAUCUGAGUCCAAGUGCGUGUAUUUGGAGGCUUAAAAGGAGGAAUUAUUGAGAAAAUAUAGGUUCUUGAGCUUACUGCUGCUUUGAUAUUAGGUCUUAAGUUGCAAGGAAUCUACAUUGCGUUUUAGAUUCAUUAAUUACUGUAAUAGAGAGUUCUUAAGCCUGAAGGAUGUAGAAUUUUGUUGAAAGCUUAAAACUAAAGGGACCCAUUAUUGAUAUUAGGCCUAGAUUUAUGAUUAACUUUGUAGGAUGAAUAGUGGUUGACUUAAAUUCAGCUAGGUUCAUUCUUUUUUAUUAGGUAAACUUUUUGUAUAAAUAUGUGGGGUUAUUCCCUAUAUAUUUUAUAUUCCAUGUAAUUUUACGGUGGUUGACUGUAUUUUAUAUUCCAUGUAUUUUUGAUUUAUGAUUAAGUCAAAAAGUUGUUAAUCCUUCAAGUAGCAAAGUAAACGCUGUGGAGAAUUAGUUAAGAUAUUCACUGUUGACGGCUACACUAUGCACGUCUCUCAUACGCUUAAUGUACUAAUUGUGCUGAGAGAAGGGGCAGAAAACGGUGUGGGGAUGAGUAUUGAAUUCAGUUCCGUUGUUAAGAAUACUACUCUAUCUCGCUUGCUUGCUCCCCGGAAUCCUUUCUGUAGUGUCUAUUGAACUUCACCAAGUUUAACGAUGAAGAGUUAUUUGACUUAUACAUGCAGCAACCAAGUCUCGGCUAUUGGCUCAACCAAAAGACACCACAAGAUCUUGCUUCUGUUCCUAUAAUGCUGCCGAGAACACCACCUCCUACUCCGGUAGCAGUUAACACAUCGUUCCAGAUUGAUGAUGCUUUUUCCAAGGCGGUUCUUGAGCUUAAUCAUCAAGAUAUGGCUUCUCAUGUUGCUGACGCACUCGGUGUGAAUGUGAUCAACAAAAACUCUAAGCCAUGGAUUGUCAAGGAAAACGUGGCUGUUUUGUAUGUUAUUGUUUUUACUUUGGGUGUUCUUUGUGGUUUAUUUCUGAUCUAACUUCAUCCACAAACAAUUAAAUGUGGCGACAAUGUAUA